CAGCAGCCGCGGGAAUACGUAGGUGGCAAGCGUUGUCCGGAAUUAUUGGGCGUAAAGGGCUCGCAGGCGGUUUCUUAAGUCUGAUGUGAAAGCCCCCGGCUCAACCGGGGAGGGUAAUUGGAAACUGGGAAACUUGAGUGCAGAAGAGGAGAGUGGAAUUCCACGUGUAGCGGUGAAAUGCGUAGAGAUGUGGAGGAACACCAGUGGCGAAGGCGACUCUCUGGUCUGUAACUGACGCUGAGGAGCGAAAGCGUGGGGAGCGAAUAGGAUUAGAUACCCCAGUAGUCCCUGUCUCUUAUAC
rnacentral:rRNA from 1 species